GUUAGAGGGCCCCAGUGAGAUUGGUGGGCUGCAGUCACAUGGUAUACGCAACCGUCUCGUCUGAUGAUGAUGCACGUAAUCGACGUCCGAACAGGAAACGUUUCGUGGAAUGUUUUUAAAAACAGAAGGAACGUGUUGUACCUUUUUUUUAACAAACAAUAUUUUGUUAGCUUUGAUGAUCGGUCCUGUGUCGUGACUUUUGCUUUGCUAAGACAACGGUCCAAACCAGCGAUGGAUUAUUGAAAUGUACAUGGACAAAGCUAACAAACUAUAGUAACAUCACUUUAACAAACGUGGUAGCUCCGAUUUCCAAUCGAUGUAUAAUGUGGCCUCUUCAUUUUCAACUGGGAAGGACCUGCAUGGACUUGAGAAUACAGAGCCAAUCGUUUUUUUUGUGAGUGUCUCAGAGAUCCCACCUUUGGAGCAGUUGUCAGGAGCCUCAAGGCGGUGCCGUUCGUCUUGGUCCCAUCCCUCUAGCACCUAGCAUUACCGCGCCAGAAGAGAGAAACCUUGUACGUUUCGAACAGUUUAUCUCCUUCCGGGAAUAAUCCACCGACUCCAAACUGAUCCUGGCUUGUUUGUGAUGUCCCGUUGUUCAACAUAUUCU